rnacentral:rRNA from 1 species
GAUCAUGGCUCAGGAUGAACGCUAGCGACAGGCUUAACACAUGCAAGUCGAGGGGCGGCGGGGUGUAGCAAUACACCGCCGGCGACCGGCGCACGGGUGAGUAACGCGUAUGCAACUUGCCUAUCAGAGAGGGAUAACCCGGCGAAAGUCGGACUAAUACCGCAUGAAGCAGGGAUCCCGCAUGGGAAUAUUUGUUAAAGAUUCAUCGCUGAUAGAUAGGCAUGCGUU